CAGUCGCCACGGUAAUACGAAGGGUGCAAGCGUUAAUCGGAAUUACUGGGCGUAAAGCGCGCGUAGGUGGUUUGGUAAGAUGGAUGUGAAAUCCCCGGGCUCAACCUGGGAACUGCAUCCAUAACUGCCUGACUAGAGUACGGUAGAGGGUGGUGGAAUUUCCUGUGUAGCGGUGAAAUGCGUAGAUAUAGGAAGGAACACCAGUGGCGAAGGCGACCACCUGGACUGAUACUGACACUGAGGUGCGAAAGCGUGGGGAGCAAACAGGAUUAGAUACCCGCGUAGUCCCUGUCUCUUAUAC
rnacentral:rRNA from 1 species